rnacentral:tRNA from 1 species
ACCUAAAUAGUUUAUUUAAAAUAUUAAUUUGUGGAAUUAAGGAAGCAGGCUAUGUUUUAGGUA